CAGGACGUCCUCUAAAGCAACUUCCGUGGGUGCCAGGUUAUGGGCUGGGGGCGGUGCUGACCUUGAGAGAGCGGAGGAGGCGCAGGCGCAGCACAGUUUAAACUUGAUUUUGUGAGGGGACGAACAGCGUGACAAUUAAAGAAGAUCUAGGAAUCAAAAGCUUCCUGAGGCCUUCACCAGAAGCAGAUGCUGGUGCCGUGCUUCUACAGCCUGCAGAACUAGCAACUGGGAACCUAAUUCUGACCAACAAGGAGGAAUUGUUUGGCUAAUUGGAAGUGACAGAAACCUUGGGAGAAAGCAACCGCAUACCAAGGAUAAUUAUAAGAAGAAGAGAAGACAUGGAGAAGAGGAGGGAGUAGUUGUGACCGUGGAGGCAGAGAAUGGAGUAAUGUGAUCAUAAAUCAAGGAAUGCUGACAGCCACUAAAGCUGGAGAAGGCCAAGGACAGAUAUUCAAUCCUCCCGUAGAAGUACAGCCCUGCUAAUGCAUUGAUUUUGGACUUCUGGCCUCAGAACUGUAAGAGAAUAAAUUUCUAUUGUUUUAAGCCAUCAGUUUGUGGUAGUUUGUUACAGAAACC
rnacentral:lncRNA from 1 species